GCCAUAUCAGCUUGAAACACUAGUUCCCAUACAAUCAAAGAAGUUAAGCAACGUUGAAACUGGUCAGUACCUAGAUGGGUGAUCACUUGGGAAUAUCAGUUGUUGUAAG